rnacentral:lncRNA from 1 species
CGGCUUAAUACGUGGGAAGGGCAAAAACUACUUAAACAAGACGUGCUUUAACGAGCACGACUAAAAUCUCUGAUCACAAGCUAUUUUGGUGCAUUGCCAUCGACCAGGAUUAGACGCGCGUGCAGCGAAGCGCUUUUGCCCAUCUGGUACAAUAAUGAUAGGGCCUCGUGAAUAGGGUCACCGUCGCACGUUCGCCACAGCCACAAGCACCUGGCUGACCGGCCACACAACCACUAGGCCGAAAAGGCUAAACCUUACUUGAUACAUCUAUAUUGGACAUUGUUGAUAACCCUAGCCUAAAGCUGAGUUUUGCAUUGAGUUUGACAUUAGCUGAGCAAUUUUUUUUUGCGCUAAACCCUAACCCUAUACAAUAUUAUUCCGACAAUUCGAAGAUCAACAUAUACUAGCACUUAAACCAUAUUGACCCACAUUGACCAUUUCCAAAACAUGCUAUAAGGAAGAGAGGAAGGUUAUAAGCCCUUCUCCGAAGUAGUACGUAUAGCACACACGUAACGCACGGACUGUAAAAGAGACGGGGUGUCGGGGUAAAAAAAAAAACUGAACCGUUCGGACGGAGUAAUAGGACUGGAGCAGGCAAGCCGCGUGGGGGAAAAAGAAGGAGAGACGGCCACUUGCCUGCACGUAGAAAGUCCGGCCAUGCUAAAACAAGACAAAGGUAAAUGAAUUUCCUUUCCCUGACUUUUUCCCCGG